UUUAACAAGAGCACAUAAAUUCACCCAACUCACUCUGCUUUUAUUCCCACGCAAAUUGAAGACAGCAAGAGGAAGGGAAAAGCUUUGCUGCCUGCAGGACUUUGCUGCUCUUCAGCUUGGCUGUGUCAGCAGGAUGGAGAGGGAGAAAAGGAAUAAGUGAAGAUGAGAAGCAGGAGAGUGUUUCAAGUGAGUUCUUCAGGUAAAUCCCUUCAUUUCUCAGUGCAAUCCUGCAGGGAGGGCAUCAUGGAUGGAUCAGCAGGACUCACAGAGGAUGCUCUCCUGCCCUGCAGUCUGGGGUGUCUCCAUCUGUCCAUGCCCUGCUUCUCUUAGAGGUAAAAUGAUAAGAAGGAAGACUCUCUGGAGCACUGGCUUUCAUUCCUGAUGUGUUUGCCAGCACCUGGAGCAUCCAGCCUCUCCAAUAAAGACAAUGAUAACAACAGCAACAGAGUCAUUUCCAGACCACUUUUCCCUCAAAAGCCAGGACCAGUAUUUACACCCAGCUCCAACAGGUCUCCUACCAUCCCUGCUUGCCAAGAAAACCUCCAGGACAGCUCGGCUGUGAACCGUGGGUCAGGUCCUGGGGCCAGGCUUGGGCUGGGAGCUCCAGGGUCAUUCCCUACUCCUUGGUGCUCAGCUGGAGCAAUGCCUGGAGCAAAGGAUGCUCCAUUUCUACUCACCCCUCUGACCCAGAGGGCUGACAAACCCUGUUUGCACAUAAACCAUAUCAGCUACACAUUUCUUACCACGACGUGAUCCUUUCCGAGGUGAAGUCGGAUCCUCCAAGACUUCAAUAAACCCUUAAAAGCAUUUAAUUAAAAAACCAUAAAGCCUGGGAGGAUCAAUCCAGCACUAAUGACCUUCAGUGCUGCUUUGUGGAGCUUGUUCUCAUUGACCUGUGAGGCAGCA